UCCUCCGCCUCCCUAACCAUUGCCGCCACCUUCACGACUCAGUGACCACCACCAAUGAAUCAAUCUCUCUCACACACUCUGUACUAUAGAUUACUUAAUUGCUUAGCGAUGGCAAAUGGAGAAUGAUUUGGGCGUCGUUAAGACUUAAAGCACAAAGAUUAAGCCGGAUCUAGGAUGGGUUUCCAUACCAGGUUUUGUCGACAUCAAGGAAUUGGGAUUUUCUGAUGUUGUACGAGUCUUUUGCGGAAUCAUUUGGGGUAAAAUGGCUUGGGGCUAAGGAAGAUGUUGCUUGUAGGAUUAAGGAGUCUUUCUGCUACUUAACCUUUCUCACUCCCUGUAUAGAAGGACAUUACUUUUGUCUAUCUUCUUGGAUGUUGCAACUGUAUUUGCCUAUGAAACUCUAUUCAAGUGUAUUUCAGUGAAACAUAUGGUUCCAGGAAAUUAUGGAGUUGCUUUCGCAGUUUUAGAACAUAAAGAGGAUAAAAAGGAAGGUUUGGUAGCCGAGGCUGCUCGAGGACUUGCUUGGAUGGAUGGAAAUGUAGAAAAGAUGGAAAAGUAAACCCUUUAGCAGUUGAGAAAAAUAUUUUUCUAGGUCAGAGAAGACGAAUAUUGGAAGUGCAUCAUUAAGCGGGGAAUUAGUGAAUAAAUUGACUGGACUUGCAGCAAGUAAUUUAUGGAUUGUAUCUAGGGAAAUUACUUAUUUUUCAUUACAGCCUGUCACGGAGACCUGGAUUUCGGGAUGUAUGCAUGAGAUAAGGUUUUUUACUCAUCAUCAAUGCAAAAUCAUUUAAUCCCCAGUCGAUGGAUUUGAUAUGGACAUAUUGCAAUUAGCGGAGAGCACGGAUAGAAACGGUGAGCUUAUGGUUCCACCUUCAGCUAUAAAUGCGACUUAUAUUUCCUGCGUCCGCAGCUCGAGUUAAGGUUUGAGGCAGUACGCCCUGUCCUAAGAGAGAUGGCUCUUGCUGGUCUUGUUCACCUGGAUGCAAAGCAAGAAGCAAGUUACCCAACAUAUAUUUACUUUGUUGCUCAAAGUUGUAGGAAAGAGUGCUCCUGAAUUAUCUAAAGAAGCUGCUGGUGUUUGCUUAUGGUCAUUGAGUCAAAACACAGAUAUUUACAAAUAAUGGACAAGGUGUACUUAAAAAGCUGGCGAAUGAAUGAUUGCAGCACUCUACUAAAUAUUUUGAUCCUUUAAGGGAGUCUGUUAAGAUUUUAAGGCAGGAGAAAUACAUCAUCCCACGGCUUGCAAAUUGCUAUGCUAAUUCCUGGUUCUAUCAGAUAUCUAAGGAAAAACUUCCUGUGCAUAAAAGAUUUAAUGUUUGAACGCAAGGAUCACAUGGAGACUCAAAUGUUGCACACCCACCAUCCGAGCGGUCAUAUGUAGUGUACUUUUGAUUUAUUAAUGCAUGAUGUAACCUUUAGAUAGAAUUACACUGAUAGAAGUAGGUUGUUCAUUAUAUUUUCCUAGUGUAUCAACCUUCUAAUUUAGUGAAUGGUUGCAUAAAUUCACUGGAUAUGAAUAUGAAUAUAUGGAUGUAUUGUAAUUUCACAAACAAGAAUGAUUAUAAAUUUGCAGUUUCAUAGUUCGAA